GUGCAUGAAGUUUCGGAUCUGCUCACAAAAUUUGUUUAAGUGUAUUCAAAUUUUUCGUUAUCUGUCAACAGAAACAUAGUGUCGCAUUGUUUAAAGUUUUUGCGUCGACGGAACUGGUUACAGAAGUCCUUACUUGAUACUUCACACCUUCGUAGUCUGUGCAUGUGCUUCGAUGUGCUUCCAUAACGGACAUAAUCCAGGUGACGCUCAGCAAACAGUCCAGAUUAAACGGUUUCGUCGGUGGAAAGACCUUGCUGAUUGGGACGGAGAAAAUGUCUGGCCAUGUCUACGACCCCCUUUCCUGGUGUGUGGAUGGGAACGACGACACUUGGGGCAGCAGCCAGCAGCUUCCUGGAUUGGAUUGACGGAGUAAACCAAAAAUUCCAUCCGGAUGAAAACUGCCAUUCAUGCAUCGCGAUGAACCAUGACCACCCCAAGCGCUCGAUGAGACGUGGGGACCUUCUUUUCUUUUUGAGAGUUCAACCUGCAGACGGGCCGGCCAGUUUGCAUGUCCUUCACGCUUGAAGGUCGCGGGGA